rnacentral:rRNA from 1 species
GAUGAACGCUAGCGGGAGGCCUAACACAUGCAAGCCGAGCGGUAGAGUUUCUUCGGAAACUUGAGAGCGGCGCACGGGUGCGUAACACGUGUGCAACCUACCUUUAUCUGGGGGAUAGCCUUUCGAAAGGAAGAUUAAUACCCCAUAAUAUAAUGAUUGGCAUCAAUUAUUAUUGAAAACUCCGGUGGAUAGAGAUGGGCACGCGCAAGAUUAGAUAGUUGGUGAGGUAACGGCUCACCAAGUCAAUGAUCUUUAGGGGUCCUGAGAGGGAGAUCCCCCACACUGGUACUGAGACACGGACCAGACUCCUACGGGAGGCAGCAGUGAGGAAUAUUGGACAAUGGGUGAGAGCCUGAUCCAGCCAUCCCGCGUGAAGGAUGACGGUCCUAUGGAUUGUAAACUUCUUUUGUACAGGGAUAAACCUACCCUCGUGAGGGUAGCUGAAGGUACUGGACGAAUAAGCACCGGCUAACUCUGUG